AUUCCAUGAUGGGGACAGUCUAGGAUGUAGUCUUGGAAGCGCUCCCAUGCCUCUGGAACGGAUUCAUCAUGUUGUUGCUGAAAACUUGUAAUCUUCCCACGGAGAGC
rfam:Sorghum bicolor cultivar BTx623 chromosome 9, whole genome shotgun sequence.